CCGAGUUUACAACUCCCAAACCCCUGUGAACAUACCUAUAUGUUGCCUCGGCGGAUCAGCCCGCGCCCCGUAAAACGGGACGGCCCGCCGCAGGAUCCACAAACUCUGUUUUUAUUGUAACUUCUGAGUAACAAAACGAAUAAAUCA
rnacentral:misc_RNA from 1 species